rnacentral:rRNA from 1 species
AUGUGCCUGUUGCAGGCGGCAGAAAAGAAGGCCUCCUCGAACAUUAAGAAGUUACAACUAGGUAGCAAUGGAAGUGCUCCAGGAACUUGGCAGAAGCUCUACAUAUGCGAAUGGAGGUUCAUACACAGCUCCAUGAACAGCUAUAGAUUCCUACUAGAACAUGUCAUUCCAAAUUGCGGCAAUGAUCUUUCUAUUCAUGAGCAGUCCUUUUUUAUACAGAAUUUUGAUGCAUACUGUAUGCAGACAAGAAGGGCCCCUCAGACAUUAAGGAACUUGGCAGAAGCUCUACAUAUGCAAACGGAGGUUCAUACACAGCUCCAUGAACAGGUUAAGAUCCAUGAAUAG